rnacentral:rRNA from 1 species
UACGUAGGGUGCAAGCGUUAAUCGGAAUUACUGGGCGUAAAGCGUGCGCAGGCGGUUGUGCAAGACAGAUGUGAAAUCCCCGGGCUCAACCUGGGAACUGCAUUUGUGACUGCACGGCUAGAGUGUGUCAGAGGGGGGUAGAAUUCCACGUGUAGCAGUGAAAUGCGUAGAUAUGUGGAGGAAUACCGAUGGCGAAGGCAGCCCCCUGGGAUAACACUGACACUCAUGCACGAAAGCGUGGGGAGCAAACAGG